GCCUUCGUGGUGUAGUGGUCAGCAUGCUCGGCGCGUAUUCGAGAAAACCGUGGUUCAAAUCCCGGCCCAGGCA
rnacentral:tRNA from 1 species